rnacentral:rRNA from 1 species
CACGUAGGGUGCGAGCGUGUCCGGAAUUAUUGGGCGUAAAGAGCUCGUAGGCGGUGUGUCGCGUCGGCCGUGAAAACCUGCAGCUUAACUGUGGGCGUGCGGUCGAUACGGGCAUCACUGGAGUUCGGCAGGGGAGACUGGAAUUCCUGGUGUAGCGGUGAAAUGCGCAGAUAUCAGGAGGAACACCGGUGGCGAAGGCGGUUCUCUGGGCAUGACCUGACGCUGAGGAGCGAAAGUGUGGGGAGCGAACAGG